rnacentral:rRNA from 1 species
UACGGGGGGGGCGAGCGUUGUUCGGAAUUACUGGGCGUAAAGGGUUUGUAGGUGGUCUACUAAGUCAGACGUGAAAUCCCUCAGCUUAACUGGGGAACUGCGUCUGAUACUGGCGGACUUGAGGACAGGAGAGGAACGCGGAAUUCCAGGUGUAGCGGUGAAAUGCGUAGAUAUCUGGAGGAACACCGGUGGCGAAGGCGGCGUUCUGGACUGCUACUGACACUGAGGAACGAAAGCCAGGGGAGCAAACGGG